rnacentral:lncRNA from 1 species
UGCCCCUUUAUGACACUUAGACAUUUACUGUUUAAGCAUGUUCCACAUUCCUCAAUGGCCCUAUCCACUAGGUUCACACAUGUCCCGAGCUCAAUGCUGCUUGAUGACAUUAGCUCUCUAGUUCACAUACCUUUUAGUUCAAUACCUCUAAAUGGCAAUUUUGUCAUCGUUCGUGUCUCAAAUGAACUUAAGUUUAAAUGAAUGAAGCAAAGCUCAUUUACACUAUAGAAGCAUGAGGCCAAGUCUCAUAUAGAAUACUAGAUGCAACUAUGGAUCUCCCAAGCAACUCUCUACUAUAUAGGAGUCCAAAAUUGCACUAUAAGUAACAUAGGCAUUUUAAGCCUUCUAAAAUUCACAAUAAAUACAUAUAACAAGAAUAUGCAUGCUUUUUCAAUUAAUGAUACUUAAUUCAUCACAAAUGAGAAUUUUCCAUUGUGUGGCUAGGUCAAACCCACCGAACCGUCGCGUAGUGCCUCGUUUCGCCGAACAAAGUUGUCCCCGCGUCUCAAAAUACCCUAAAAGUAUUGAGCGAAAAGAUACACGGGCAUUACGAUCAUCAUAUAAGAUCAAACAUUAACCUAGAAGCAAAAAGGGCCAAAACUCACCUCAAGGGAAGAAAUCUCUUCCAAAGCUCCAAAAGAGAGCUAGAACUCUUCCAAUCCAAGCCCAAGGAAGGUUCUAAACCAACUAAUUUAGCCCCAAAAGCCCUAGAUCAAAAAACCCCAAAAUCAACCCUAAACCUCAUUCUAGGGCUCCAACACAAAGAAAGCCUCAAAUCCAAAGUCUAGAUGGAGAGAAAGGGCUACCAACCUCUAAGAAGCUUCAAUCCAAGCUCAAAGGGUGAAGAUCUCCUCUUGGCAAGCUCCAAGUGCAAGCCUUCAAGCACCAACAAGGUGGGAAGAGGAAGAGAGGCAAAGAAAUGCUCCAAGUCCACCAAAACCUUCUCCUUCUUCUUCUUCUCCUCCUUCUUCUUCUCUUUCUC